GGCCGACUAGCUCAGUUGGUUAGAGCGUCGUGCUAAUAGGCUGAACAGCAGACUUGCCCUUUCCCGGCAGCUCUGUUGAUCAACCCGUUCAACGCGAAGGUCUUGGGUUCGAUCCCCACGUUGGCCA